GACGUAGGGAGCGAGCGUUGUCCGGAUUCAUUGGGCGUAAAGAGCGCGCAGGCGGCUUGGCAAGUCGGAUGUGAAAACCCGGAGCUCAACUCCGGGCGUGCAUCCGAAACUGCCCGGCUAGAGGUAGGUAGGGGAGAUCGGAAUUCCUGGUGUAGCGGUGGAAUGCGCAGAUAUCAGGAGGAACACCGGUGGCGAAGGCGGAUCUCUGGGCCUUACCUGACGCUCAGGCGCGAAAGCUAGGGGAGCAAACAGG
rnacentral:rRNA from 1 species